GAAUGUCUUUUCUCGGUACACAAAGAUGAAUACCUGGACGUGAACAUCAACCAUCCAGGAUUGCGGAUUCGCAAGAAAAAAUUCUGGUUAGUUGAUGUUCAAGUCUAUGAAUUCGUUUUGCGUAGUAUCCAUGUGUAGCGCGAUGACGAGACUUUC